rnacentral:lncRNA from 1 species
GAAUAAGGGCACGAGACUUUUUUCCCAAAUUUCGGCAAAGUCUCCACUGUAAAUUGAACAUUGCCCAAAAUUUCAACCUGCAUAAAACACAUUUUAUAUUACUCAACUGGCAGCAUGCACAAUGUAAUAACAUGCAAUUCACAUAAACGGCAUUUGGGCUUCCAAUAAUUCGCAACAAACCACCAAGCACGCUAUCAAAUCAAUUCCUACCUUAAACAAGGCAAACAAUAAAUUCAAUCACACUUUAGAAUAUCAAAGCAAUUCACUACAUUUAAUUUUCUCAACAGCCAACAUACGAAGUUUUAACCUCCUAACACAAAUACACUUCGUUCUCACCCAAAUAGCAGGACCAACGACAAGGUCCGCAUCAUACCCAAUAAUACUCGAGUAAAGUUUAGCUAGCAGCUGCACCUAGGCACUACCCUAGGCUGCCUAUGUACCCUUACUAAGGGAUCAAGCUACACGUAGUUCUUUCUCUAAAACUCGAUUCCAAGCACAUACAAUACCUUUAUUCAUCUCUCUGUUAUUCACAUAAUCUCC